GGAAGGAAAAGUCGUAACAAGGUCUCCGUUGGUGAACCAGCGGAGGGAUCAUUACCGAGUUUACAACUCCCAAACCCAAUGUGAACCAUACCAAACUGUUGCCUCGGCGGGGUCACGCCCCGGGUGCGUCGCGGCCCCGGAACCAGGCGCCCGCCGGAGGGACCAACCAAACUCUUUCUGUAGUCCCCUCGCGGACGUUAUUUUUACAGCUCUGAGCAAAAAUUCAAAAUGAAUCAAAACUCUCAACAACGGAUCUCUUGGUUCUG
rnacentral:misc_RNA from 1 species